rnacentral:tRNA from 1 species
GACUCCGUGGCCCAAUGGAUAAGGCGCUGGUCUACAAAAACAAAAAACAAAGAUUCUGAGUUCGAUCCUCACGGAGUCG